ensembl:lncRNA LINC03025 long intergenic non-protein coding RNA 3025
AUUACUCCCCGUAAUAGACAGAUAUGACUCCCCAUCGUAGAGCACGAGGUGUACACCCGCCCUGUGAUUUUCUUCCUCAUAUUCAGAGACCGAGAGGUUGAUGUCACUCCCAAUAUCGGAGGAAGUAUACACCCCCGUGUGAGAUGGUCCUUAAUAAUAUUCCACGGCGGAGGGGGUGAUAUGACUACAUACAUGGCAGAAAGUGGAAACCUCCCAGGGAUAUUGUUCCCACGAUCCUGGAGGGAAGAAGAUGAUGUUACUUUCAAUAUGACAGAAGGUGGAUGAAGUGGUGGACUGCCCCUCCACACCUGUGGACACGCCCCCACUGAUAUUCCUUCUAAUUGCAGCGUGGGAGAGGAGGAUAUGACACGCGAUAUCGCAGGGAGUAGAAACACCCCUGUGAUACUGUUCUUAAUAUUCAGGGAGGAAGAGGAUGAUAUUACUCCCAAUACAGACGGGUGUACACCCUCUGUACACCGAGGGUGUACACCUGUCUGUGAAAGAGUUCGUAAUCUCCAGAGGGGGAGAUGAUAUUACUCACAAUAUGGUAAAGAGGCUGUGAGUCCACGGAGGAUCCUCAGAGCCAGCGGGGGAAGAGGGGCUGGCUCUCAGUCCCCGCCUCGCGGGGGUGACUCCCCCCAGUGCGAUGGGGGUCCUAAGAGCCAGUGGGGGAAGAGGGGCUGGCUCUGAGACCCCGCCUCGCGGGGGGUGCCUCCCCGCCCUGUGAUGGGGGUCCGAAGAGCCAGAAGGCUUAGAGGGGCUGGCUCUCAGUCCCCGCCUCGCGGGGGGUGCCUCCUCCCCCUGCGAUGGGGGUCGUAAGAGCCACUGGGGGAAUAGGGGCUUGCUCUCAGUCACCGCCUCGCGGGGGGUGCCUCCUUUCCUUUCUACAUAGACACAGUGACAGUCUGAUCUCUCUUUCUUUUCCCUACAGAUGGACACGCCCCCACUGAUAUUGUUUUUAAUGCAGCGUGGGAGGGGAGGAUAUGACACGCGAUAUCGCAGCUGAGUGCCACGUGCUGACGUCACUAAGAUCAAUACAGCAAACUCUGAAAGAUGGACAGAGAGACAGGAGAUGGUCCUUUAUAAUGCAGUGUGAUCUGUGCUGCAAUAGAGAUGGAAGAGUGUUCUGAUCGGCUGGAAAACAACGCACAUGGGAAGCUGUACAGAAAUGAGUGGGGAAAGUUUUGGAAGCUAGAAGUUCAAAACGAGGUGUUGGCAGCACCAUGCUCUCUCUGAAGAUGCUAGGAAGAAUCUGCUCCAUGCCUUUCCAUUCGCUUCUGGGGUUUCCUGCAAGCCCUGACAUUCCUUGGCUUGUAGAUGCAUCACCCCAGUUUCCGCCCCCAUCAUCACAUGGCCUCCUCUCUGUGUGUGCCUCUGCGUUCCCUCUAUUCUUCUUCUAAGGACACCGACACCAGUCAUAGUGGAUUAAGUGUCCACUCCUAACCAAUUACAUCUGCAACAACCCUAUUUCCAAAUAAAGUCACAUUCUAAGAUUCCUAGGGAGAACAUGAAUUUUUGGGGGUGUGUGGAUACUGUUCAACCUGGGACAUGGAGUAAAUAAAUGGCAAGGAAGAUUACAGAUGACUUUAAGCUAAAGAGGGAGAUAGGGUUAAAUGUAGGACUUUUUUUUUCCAGGACGGGAGAGGUUUAAACAUGUUACUACAUUGAAUAAAUGAAAUAACC